UGGACAAAUUAUUAUAUUCGACUGUAUUCGACUAUAUUCACGUCGUGAAAUAGGGGAUUACAUUAUUUUUACAACGGAAAGUGAAUCAAUUAACAUAAUAGACUUCU
rnacentral:pre_miRNA from 1 species